UGGGGAAUAUUGGACAAUGGGGGCAACCCUGAUCCAGCAAUGCCGCGUGUGUGAAGAAGGUCUUCGGAUUGUAAAGCACUUUCGACGGGGACGAUGAUGACGGUACCCGUAGAAGAAGCCCCGGCUAACUUCGUGCCAGCAGCCGCGGUAAUACGAAGGGGGCUAGCGUUGCUCGGAAUGACUGGGCGUAAAGGGCGUGUAGGCGGUUUACACAGUCAGAUGUGAAAAUCCCUGGGCUUAACCUGGGAGCUGCAUUUGAUACGUGUAGACUAGAGUGUGAGAGAGGGUUGUGGAAUUCCCAGUGUAGAGGUGAAAUUCGUAGAUAUUGGGAAGAACACCGGUGGCGAAGGCGGCAACCUGGCUCAUGACUGACGCUGAGGCGCGAAAGCGUGGGGAGC
rnacentral:rRNA from 1 species